AGUGAACGCUGGCGGUAGGCCUAACACAUGCAAGUCGAACGGCAGCACAGUAAGAGCUUGCUCUUACGGGUGGCGAGUGGCGGACGGGUGAGGAAUACAUCGGAAUCUACUUUUUCGUGGGGGAUAACGUAGGGAAACUUACGCUAAUACCGCAUACGACCUACGGGUGAAAGCAGGGGAUCUUCGGACCUUGCGCGAUUGAAUGAGCCGAUGUCGGAUUAGCUAGUUGGCGGGGUAAAGGCCCACCAAGGCGACGAUCCGUAGCUGGUCUGAGAGGGUGAUCAGCCACACUGGAACUGAGACACGGUCCAGACUCCUACGGGAGGCAGCAGUGGGGAGUAUUGGACAAUGGGCGCAAGCCUGAUCCAGCCAUACCGCGUGGGUGAAGAAGGCCUUCGGGUUGUAAAGCCCUUUUGUUGGGAAAGAAAAGCAGCAGGUUAAUACCCCGCUGUUCUGACGGUACCCAAAGAAUAAGCACCGGCUAACUUCGUG
rnacentral:rRNA from 1 species